rnacentral:lncRNA from 1 species
CCUCUCCCCAGGUCUCUCUUCCUAACCUGUACUGUGUACAGUCUCCCUCCCUGUCCUCUAGCUACCUGUAGUGUGUACAGUCCUCUCCCCAGUAUCUCUCUAGCUACCUGUAUUGUGUACAGUCCUCUCCCCAGUGUCUCUCUAGCUACCUGUAGUGUGUACAGUCCUCUCCCCAGUGUCUCUCUACCUACCUGUACUGUGUACAGUCCUCUCCCCAGUGUCUCUCUACUACCUGUAGUGU